CAUGACAGCACUGGCCACCACAGACUCGUAGAACAUCCUCAGCAUCGUCCGGCAGAUGUUAAAGGACCUCAGUCUCCUCAGGAAAUAGAGACGGCUCUGACCCUUCUUGUAGACAGCCUCAGUGUUCUUUGACCAGUCCAGUUUAUUGUCAAUUCGUAUCCCCGGGUAUUUGUAAUCUUCCACCAUGUCCACACUGACCCCCUGGAUGGAAACAGGGGUCACCAGUACCUUAGCUCUCCUCAGGUCUACCACCAGCUCCUUAGUCUUUUUCACAUUAAGCUGCAGAUAAUUCUGCUCACACCAUGUGACAACCCCAUUCCGUAAAAGCCCAGUGCAACAGAAACAUCAACUAAAUCUCCAACAGUGGCGGCCCUAAGGUGGUGCUAGCUGGGGCUAUAGCCCCAGCAGAAAUUGCAAUAGCACCAGCGUAGCACCACCAAGAAAUUAACUGAAAUUUCACAUGCAAAUUGAACUGCUUUGUUUUCUCUAUAUAGUUUUGAAUACAGCUUGUUUCUCCAGUUGAUCUAGUGAAACAGAGCCCCCAAUUACCAUAGCACCCACGCAGCAAUAAAGUUAUAAACUCUGUCAGAUCCAUUCUAUACUUUGUUCAUUGUCAGCGUCUCAUCGUUGCUGUCCUCAGAUCAGUUAAGCUGAUCUAAGAUCACGUAAGGUGGUGAUGUCACUCACUUUCACUCACGCGAGAGAUUGAUAGUAUACAUCCAGUCGCAGAUCCAUGGUCUUGUGAGACUAACGGAUCACACACACACACACACACACACACACACACGGUGCUUUUACAAGCUAGCGUGGGCCUACCACGUGCAUUAUUUUGGCGGCGUGAAAAAUGGAUCGAUUUUUAGUGAGAAAACGACCUCACUUAGAGGAAUCAGUGGUGUCUCAGCCGGAGCCUGUCUUAAUUGAAAGUGACAUGCAGAAAGAAGUAAGUGGGGAUGAGGACGACAGCAGUUCAUCGAAGGAGUGUGAGGGCAAGGUAGAGGAACAAGAAAUGGAGCGGGAUUCGGAAGACGGGGUAGAGGGAGACGGCGUAGGAAGGCUUUGUCUCAAGAGGCUUCGGCGAGCAGAGGCUGAGGACGAGCUUCACUCCGAAUGAGACAUUUCCUGUGUGGAGGACAUGGGUUCCAUUCUGAGUCUACCUUCACUGUCACCGGUUACCAUAACUGGCGGAAAGCUACAACAGCUUUCAAAACCCACCAUGUAAGUGCAGCUGAGAAGUUUGCUAUGGAGGCAUGGGCCGAAUUCAGAUUGAGAAAACAAGACUGUUCAAGAUUGGGAAAAAUGCUUGACAGAGGACAUGCAAAGAUUGUCCAAGAAAAUCGUGAGUAUAUGAGAGCAGUGGUCGAGUCUCUAGCAAGGACAGACAGUGAAUGACACAGUGGAAUUUCUAGCUCCAAUGAGACCCUACCGCGAUGCAUUCAUAGAUUUAUACAAACUAAUCUACAUAUCACUGACUCUACCUGUGACAUCGGCCUCUUGCAAAUGGAGUUUCUCUUGCCUCAGACGCAUCAAAAACUACCUAAGGAAUAGCAGCAGCGAUGCUCGGAACAGCAACUUGGCCCUGUUGGCCAUAAACAGCCGGAGGAGCAAAGCACUUGACACCCAGAAAAUCAGUGAUGCUUUCACCACCAAUCACAACAACAGACGGAUUGUGCUUCUCUGAAAACAUCAAUGAUGCUGCUUGGCCUGCUGAGCUCCUCCAGCAUGUUGGAACAUCUGCAGAUUCUCUUUCGCAGUACCUCGAGCAGGAUAAGCAAACACUGCAGGCCGGUAUCCUAGCGACAGUAAGGGAUUGCAGCCAAAGCAGACAACCAGCAAACAGGAACAGUCACUCAGCGUUCAGACCCACAUCACAUCCCAGUUUGCUGAACUAUCACUGAGAAAGAGCAGAGUUUAUUCAGGGAUCUCAGGAAGGAAGAGGAGAGGAUUCUGAAUCAAAUGGAGAAAAAUCGUCUGGAGAUUCAAGAGAUUAGGUUUAUUCAGGAGGAAAUCUCAAAUUUGAAGGAACAGAUGGAUCAAAAAGACAGUGUGAUAUUUCUCAAGGUGAGGGAUUAUUUCAAUUUGUUUCUGUCAAAGAGCGCUAAAUAAACGGUGGUAUAUUCGAAGUAAACAGUGGCCAUUUCUAACAAAUCAAUUGCCGACCUCGCACAGAUUGUUAUUGUUACAGUCAGUUUUGGGGUAGCUGAUCCAUUUACACUUAAAUGACUCUGGCCACCAGACUUCUAUUUGACAAAGUACUGUGGAUUCAGUUCACAACAAUGCGCUUCCUAAAAAGGUGUGAAUACCAGAUGCAUCCGGCGCCCUAGUUUGACCUGAUGCUGUAGUUUCGAGGACAGUAUUAUCUAUACUUUAUAAAUAUUAAUUGUCUUCUAUGUUCGUAAAAUGCCAAAUAAAUGUACUGUGGAUUUAACUUGCAUUCCUAAAGGCUGUGGAUACCAACCCAGACAUGUUGGCGUUGGAAGGGAAGGAUAAAGUCAGAAGUUGUGAUGUUUGUAGGUAGCUUCAAUAGGAAGCAUUGUCUAUGCAUUGUCUAUAACUUUUAAGUAACAAUUGCCUUUCUGUUUAGCAUAUAAAUAUUGAGCCCACACUGGGCUAGCAGACCUUUCUACCAAAAGUGUCUCCGUCCGUAUGAUGCCUGCUGUACCUUGUUGUGUCGAAUACAGAAGCUGCUUUGUAUCUACCAGUAACUCUGUCUCUCCAGUGACUUCAUCCACGCCACAACAGUUAUACUUCUAUGACACGCCCCCCAAUCAUUCCAAUAAUGACCUUCCAAAAUGUCGAAGAUAUAUAUUUGAUCCUUCAUCAGCAACAGAUAAUCUUAAAACGAUAAAAUUUCAUGGUAAUUAAUCAUAAAGUAAGCAGCAAAUGAGUGGGCAACGAAAGAUACGACAGCUGUCCAUCCCCAGCUCAAAACUGCCCAGUACAAAUACGUAACUAAUUCCCUUCCCUUUUACCACACCCCACUCACGUGACUAGUUACCAUCAUAAGCAUGCAACACAGAAUACAAUGUAUACAGAUGUGUUGCUCCUACACACAGCAUUUACAAGUGGCAGUAAACUGUUUUUCUCCAGAGAACUGAUACAACUACUCAGGGCUGUUGUUGUCCCAAAACUGGAUUUCCACAGCUUCUGUACAUCCCAGGACAGAAUACAAUCUUCUCUGAAAUUAUUGACUCUGAUCACAGCACAGAGGUGCUGAAUGUGUCCUUAAUUACUACUUUAAAUAUCCUCUAA